rnacentral:rRNA from 1 species
GGACGCCAGUCUGCAUGGAGCCGACCUUGAAAUACCACCCUUUAAUGUUUGAUGUUCUAACGUUGACCCGUAAUCCGGGUUGCGGACAGUGUCUGGUGGGUAGUUUGACUGGGGCGGUCUCCUCCUAAAGAGUAACGGAGGAGCACGAAGGUUGGCUAAUCCUGGUCGGACAUCAGGAGGUUAGUGCAAUGGCAUAAGCCAGCUUGACUGCGAGCGUGACGGCGCGAGCAGGUGCGAAAGCAGGUCAUAGUGAUCCGGUGGUUCUGAAUGGAAGGGCCAUCGCUCAACGGAUAAAAGGUACUCCGGGGAUAACAGGCUGAUACCGCCCAAGAGUUCAUAUCGACGGCGGUGUUUGGCACCUCGAUGUCGGCUCAUCACAUCCUGGGGCUGAAGUAGGUCCCAAGGGUAUGGCUGUUCGCCAUUUAAAGUGGUACGCGAGCUGGGUUUAGAACGUCGUGAGACAGUUCGGUCCCUAUCUGCCGUGGGCGCUGGAGAACUGAGGGGGGCUGCUCCUAGUACGAGAGGACCGGAGUGGACGCAUCACUGGUGUUCGGGUUGUCAUGCCAAUGGCACUGCCCGGUAGCUAAAUGCGGAAGAGAUAAGUGCUGAAAGCAUCUAAGCACGAAACUUGCC